GACGUAGGACGCAAGCGUUAUCCGGAGUGACUGGGCGUAAAGGGCGUGCAGGCGGCGGCUCAAGUGGCUCGUGAAAGACCCCGGCUCAACCGGGGGCGGUCGGGUCAGACUGAGGCGCUAGAGGCAGUCAGAGGGACACGGAAUUCCGGGUGUAGUGGUGAAAUGCGUAGAGAUCCGGAGGAACACCAGUGGCGCAGGCGGUGUCCUGGGGCUGCACUGACGCUGAGACGCGAAAGCAUGGGGAGCGAACGGG
rnacentral:rRNA from 1 species